GACGAACGCUGGCGGCGUGCUUAACACGUGCAAGUCGAGCGGAAAGGCCCUUUCGGGGGUACUCGAGCGGCGAACGGGUGAGUGACACGUGAGUAAUCUGCCCUUCACUUUGGGAUAACCCCCGGAAACGGGAGCUAAUACCGGAUAUGACCGGCAACCGCAUGGUUUGUUGGUGGAAACUUUUUGGGUGGGGGAUGUGCUCGCGGCCUAUCAGCUUGUUGGUGGGGUAAUGGCCUACCAAGGCUUUGACGGGUAGCCGGCCUGGGAGGGUGACCGGCCACACUGGGACUGAGACACGGCCCAGACUCCUACGGGAGGCAGCAGUGGGGAAUAUUGGACAAUGGGCGGAAGCCUGAUCCAGCAACGCCGCGUGAGGGAUGACGGCCUUCGGGUUGUAAACCUCUUUCAGCACCGACGAAGCGUGAGUGACGGUAGGUGCAGAAGAAGGACCGGCCAACUACGUGCCAGCCGCCGCCGUAAAAC
rnacentral:rRNA from 1 species